rnacentral:hammerhead_ribozyme from 1 species
AUCCAGCUGACCAGUCCCAAACAGGACGAAAUGCGCACUCUGGAU